rnacentral:tRNA from 1 species
GCGGAUGUAGCGCAGUUGGUAGCGCAUCACCUUGCCAAGGUGAGGGUCGCGGGUUCGAAUCCC